rnacentral:tRNA from 1 species
GCGAUUGUAGUUCAAUGGCAGAAUACGCGACUGUGGCUCGUGUGACGAGGGUCCGAUUCCCUCCUUUCGCC